rnacentral:rRNA from 1 species
GACGAACCGUGCGAACGUUAUUCGGAAUCACUGGGCUUAAAGCGCGUGUAGGCGGGAAUGCACGUCCGGCGCUGAAAUCCCCCGGCUCAACCGGGGAACGGGCGCGGAUACGACACUCCUGGAGGGGCGUAGGGGGACCGGGAACUUCCGGUGGAGCGGUGAAAUGCGUUGAGAUCGGAAGGAACGCCCGUGGCGAAAGCGGCACUCUGGGACGGUACUGACGCUGAGACGCGAAAGCGUGGGGAGCGAACAGG